GGCGAGGCCGCGCGGUGGAGAACCGCCGGGAUUUCUCCAACCCGCGUAUGCGCACCCACAGCAGCGGCCUUUGGAGGCCGCGGCGCCAUUUUAGUGGCCUUCUUUCCCCCUUGGCAUCUGUCGUGUACGUUGUGGCUGGGUGUCCCCAGUUCCCCCAUCCCGCCCUGACUUUGGCUGCCCGCUCCACCAGCCUGGAUAGAGUGACCAAUCAGCUCUGACCUAGGGUGGGAUGCACGUCACCAUGGCGACGGCUAGGGCGCCCUGGCGAUGCUGCCCAUCGUAGAGGGCGACUCUUCACUCCGCCUGGAUGGGUGUGAAGGGAAGGUGGGGACAGGUGCUGGGGAGGGGCGGGCGGAGGCAGGCCGUGGCACCUCCUCCCCAUUCCCACCUCGUUUUGCCUACAGUCAGUUCAGCUGGGUCAGGCGGGGGACAAAUGGAUGUUGUGGAAGGCGCCUGGGUAGGGGUCUGGGCUCGUUCUGGGGCGGCUCUUCCACGAGUCGUCUCAUCCCCCGCAGGACCUAGCUCUGGUAUAAAGGCUUAUCUUGGUCUCUCAUCCUCUUCUAUGUCUCUCUGCCAAAGACAGUGGUGUUCAGGAGCCUCCAGACGCUUGCCCCUCAUUUUUCUUGCUGUUAAGUGCUGUGAUUUUAGACAAGUCGCUUUCCCUAGGUCUUAGUUUUUGCAUCCAGAAGAUGGGCUGCUGUGCAGGCUCAUGCAUGGAAAGCCUUGAGUGCACACUGGGUGCUCUUUCAGUGUUACAGCUCCUUCUCCCUUAGCAGGGAGUGCAAGACCUUUGGGGGCAGGAUUCAGAACCUGAGGAUGUCCUUUCUGUCCAGGGCAGCCAAGUUUGGGUGUCUGGUGGCUUCCUAGAGCCAGCUUUUCAUCUCUUCUCCAGACAGCUGGCAGAGGAGGGGAGGAUUUUUAAAAAUAGAGCCAGGGUGGGGGCUGUGGCUGGAACAAAACCUUGGUCAGUGGCUCUGAGAAUGGGGCGCUACAGCUCCUAAAGCUCUGGCUCCUUCCUUCAAGCCUGGUCUGGCUUAAGCACCACUUUAAGUGGUCCCGGCAUUCACUGGCCAGCCCCUCACCGCAAUUGAGCUGCAGGGGUUUGAAAAGAGGGCCAGGGCCUCAAUGACAGGACCUUGGGCCAGGCUAAUUGGUUUUGGUUCAAGGGGAUAGUGGAUUUGUGAAAAGCUCCAAACCGCCUUUCCCACGCCAGAGCCAGGCCACGGCUUUAAGGAGAAGGGUUCAAGGAGCUUGGGGCCAGGCAAGAAAGCUGGGAGCGAGGUGCCUUCAGCUGAUGACCCUGCUCUCAUAGCCAAGACAGCCCUCUGGUUGGAGAGGGUAGGAAGCUGUUGUGAGGCCACUUCCAGGAGCACCUGCAUUUAUGGCCUGUCAGGUACUCGAGAGUCAGUUGGAUAUAUUCCUAACCUUCUCCUACACGUGGCUGUGCCAAGAAAGGGGCCUCCUCCUUUGGCGUACCUUAGUGGUGGAGAGGCCCCAUUUUCUCAAGUGGGAUCAUCCAGUAAAAGAAGCCAGCAAUGGCCAGGUUUAAUAUUUCUUGCCCCAGGAGCUGGACUAAACCCAGGCUUUUAUAUUCUGGGGGCAUUCUGGACUCUAUCCUGAGGCAGGUAUGCAGUUGGUCUCAAGGUGAUAACCCACUUCUGUCUCUUGAAAUGUCCUUAUACUACCCUGGGCAUGGACAAACAAAGCAGAGAUGAGAAACAGGAAGCCCUUGGUACUUUAAAAAAAAAAAAAGUCAAAUAUUUCUAUUCUCAAAAGUCCAGUAUUAAUUAUGUUAUGACUUAAAUCUAUCAUCAUUAUAGAUAAUUUUAAUAUAAAUGGCUUGAAGCAUAUAUCUUAAGGUGUAUCAGUUACCUAUGUGUUUGGACAAAAUGAUUGCACAUUCGUAUAUGUAAUAUACCCAUUCUAUGUGUGCAUAUAUAUAUGUAUACAUGGUCUAUAUAUCAAAUCAUAUGCUUAUAUUAACAAUCAGUUAUGUUAAGGUUGAAGGCAGGGUGGGGUGCUAUAAAUCAUCAGCCCCAUUUAAAAUAACAACGUUGCAUUGACUGAGACCAGUGUUUCAUGGUUUAUUGUGUGUUGGAGGGGAGCAUUCCUAUGCGAUCACAGGCUGAAGAAACCCCCUACCUUUUUUAUUAUCCAAAUUUUUCACUGUGUUUGCCCACUUGACGCAUAUAAAUAGGAGAAAGGCACUUUGAAGAGAUAUAGAACUCUGUGUAUCACAUUUUCCAUUUUUAUUUCAAUUUUUAAUUGCCCAGAGCCUAAUUUCUUUGGGCCUCUGCUGAUUUGCACAUUUGAGAUUCAUGUGUAAAUAUGUAUGUGGCAUGUGUGCACGCCUGGGCCUCCUUAUCACAAAGUGUGCUCUCUCGGUGUUUAAAUACACACAAUCCACAUCGACACAUGAUUAUGGGCUUACGUAUUUGCUUCUUCUCUAGAAUCGGGUUAAUUUUCCCUUCGCUAAUCCUCAAACCCAUUAAGUUCCCCACCUCCCCACCCCCACAAAAAAUUGCAAACCCUACCACAGACCAGUGGUCUCACCCCACUUCUCCAGCAAGCAGUUCUCCAGGCGGGGUGCUGGAGUGAAGGUUCCUAUUAGGCAGACUUCAUUAAUGUUACCAAAUAUACCCUGGCACAUUUACUCGCCUACUAUGAAGUAUUACCAUAAAUAAUUAAAAUUAAACUGCACUUGUCAAAAUAAAUGAACAAAGUAGAGUUAGUGAUGUCUUUGCCUUGAUUUGCUUGGUUUGCUUAUUCACUAAUUUGAAGAAAGAAAGUGGGAAAAAUCAUAGAAAGAACACUGCUACAGACUGCCAUGGGAUGGACAGAGGAGAUAGGGAGAGAAUGGAGUGGGGGGAGAGAGAGAGACAGAGGGAGAGAGAGCCCUCAGUCAUCUGCCCUUGGGUUUCCAGUCAUUAGGGCACUCUAGGAGGCUGGAAUGCAGCCUUUAACGUCAGCCCAUAAUGAAUAUUGAGGUGUGGAUGUGGAAGGAGGGAUUUCUUUGUUUACUGAGGAAUGGCCAUGGGAGUAGGGGAGAGGAUUGCCUUUGGGGAUUAAGGAGUGGGCUUUGUUUUUAUAAAGGGCCUUACUUCUUUUCUGAAGUUUUCUGCAGCUAAUUGAUUCAAUUCAGACAUUCCUCUUCCCCACCCGGCCCUGGCCACGUGUUUGUGAGAUGUGGACAGCCCCAUUUCCCCAUCUGCUCUGGCCUCUUUUUCCACUGUGACCCUUGAAAAGGGUGUGAACCUUCACAUCAACGAGAUCACAGGCUAUGGGGAAAACAGUAAGGGGCCGAGACCUUUGUAAGGAUAUGUGUGUGAUAUAGAUGCACAUACAUAUACACGCACCUAUAUUAAUAGAGGUAUAAUUUACAUCUAGAAACAGAUCAUAGGUGUACAGUUCUGUGGGUUCUGACAAAUGCAUUUAUACCCAUGUACCCAACACCCAAGAUAAACUUCAUUUCCUUCAUUCCAAAAACUUCUUUCCUACCUCUCAGCAGUCAAUCCCUGCCAGUCCCCAUUCCGAUGUCUCUUACCAUAGAUUAGUUUUACCUAUCCAGAGUUUCAUAUAAAUGGAAUGUAUGCCAGGGCUUUUAAAAAUGAAUUUAUUUCGAGUCUGGAGGGAGCACUGUCCAGGGAGGCCUGGUUGAGCAUGUGUCCAGGAGCACUGGACUUGUGUUAAACACUGUCCCCUUGGAUGGGCCCGGAAGUCAAACCUGUCAUUAGAUUUUUUGUUGUUGUUGUUGGGGGAGCUGGUGUGGGCUGGUCGUCCUCCAGGAGAGCCCUGUUCUCACCCGAGGUCUGUUAAUGAGCUGGGGACAGGUGAGCCUCACACGUUCCAACUUGGCUGCCUUCAGCGGCAUCCAGGAGCAGUGGUGAGCUAUUAAUGGAAGGUGCUGGCUUUGUGCUAAUUAGAACUUCCUUUCAGCUUCCAUCUGCACAGACACUGGAGCCCCUCACUGGUCAGCCUCACCGUUCCAACCCCCCUCAGUUUGCAACCUAGUUUUUGUCCCCCCUGCCCCGCCCUCCAUGAAUUAGGGGGUACUAUGAGUGGAGCUGCUUUCCUCUAUCUCUGGUCAAAUCCUGGCUCUUUGUGUAUUGCAGGACUGCACUGGGUGGUAUUUCUCAGGCCUUCUCUCUCUUAUUGGGGUGAAGAUGGAGUUGGAAGAUGGGGUUGGAAAGGGAUUUGGGCACCAUGGGCACCCUCCUGGGUAGGCUGGACUUACAUCAUUGACCUGAAUUUGUUUUAUGAAAGACCUCUCUCCUCUGCCCUCUGGAGACUGUGGCUUCAGACCCUUGUCCUUUCCAUUACCCCUAGUCCUGAUGUCUCCCAAGUCUGAUGGUACCCACCCAUCUCAACUACAGCUGCCAUCUUUGCCAUCUCAGGCAGCCUACAGGUAGGGGCUGUGUCCUUGGCCCUCUUCUGGAAAAAAAAAAACAAGAAAAACAACAAAAAAAAAACAACCUAUUUUUUUUUUCCUUCACUUUUGCUUUUUAUUCCUUUCACUUCAGGCCCAAUGGAUAUAAUUUUUUCUUUAAUGGAAGUUGUCUCUUACAGAGGUUUCAUUGAAAAAGAAGAAACAACGUCACUUUAACGUCAUUUAAAGAAAAAGCACCUCUCAGAAUGGAGGUUAGGAAAGCUAGGGUUUCCUGCCUGAAUAUCAGUUCCUCUAUUGAAACGAAGGGAUGAAAUCCCUUGUAAGGAACUCAAGAGAGGAGCGUUUCCUCAAAAUGCUUUCUUUAGCUCCUGAGUCUCCUUAGGUCUACACUGGGGUUGUGUGUAAAAAUACCAAGCCCUCCCUGACAAUGCGUCUCCUUCUCUUCUGCUUGAAUUAUCCUGAUAAUGAGAGUUCACCCACUUCUUUGACAGUGUAGACUAGGAUUUUAAAAAUUGGGAGUGAAUUGUUGGACAGUGUGACACUUCACCAGAUUCCCUCAAGGUUCUGGACCUACGCUAAAGAGGGGUGGAAAUGCUUCUGGGGUGUCCAGAAGGGCUGCAGAAAUUCCCCAUCACUGGUCAUUGGGAGAGCAGGAGGACUGGUUUCCCUCUGUGGCCUAUUCUGCCUCUGAAGGUGACAAUUCCUGAUUUGAGGCACUAGGGUGGAAGAUCCAGGACUAUCCAGGACCAGGUUAAUAAAUUGGCGUCCAGAUUCCAGAAGGGCAGCAGCUGGGGACUGGAGACAUGCCCAUGCCUGUGGGACAGAGUUCUUUUGCAUGCUUUGGACUUUACAACUCUGUAUCCUUGACAAGUCACAGGCAUCUCUGGGUCAAAUCGGGACAAUAGUACCCAUACCUCCAAGGGUUAUGUGAGAAUUAAGUAAAAUAUACAAAUAAAGUGCCUGGCAUACAAUGGGCACUGAGCAAAUGGUAGCUCUUUUUUCCAGGCUGGGGCAAGGGAUGCAUAUAAAUGUCUGGAUCCGAAGUUUGAAAUUCCACCUGCUGGAGACAGUGAACACCCCAAUAGAUACCCCAAAUCGCACUGAAGGACGGAUGACGGGCUGCCUUCCUCCCCCAGGGCAUGCCAUACACACUGGGUCUGAAGUGGAAGAAUCGGCACCCCAAAAAACGGCUUGUGUAGCGGGGUUGCACAUGGGUGUAAAGUUCCCAGCUUGGCUGCCUGGGGAGGGGGACACAUAAAUGUCUUUAGAGAUUUGAAGGGAGCAGGAUCUGGACUGACUUGCGUUGCCAAGACGGCUGGGGCUGGGAGCCAAGGGGGUGCUGCCGGGAGGCCCGCGUUAGCUUGGGGUAUGACAUUUCUAACAGUUGGCGCCUAGGAAAAUGGCCUGGGGUUCCAGCUCUGGAGGGUUCCGAAUCUCAGGAUUCACAAGUGGCGCUGUCCGGAGCAGCCAGGGUUGUCCCGAGGUGGUCUCGGGCAGGCUUUCCACGAUGUGCUGUCUGGGUCGCAGGUGAGAACCUCAUGGUUCUCCAUUUCCGGAACUCCAGCUCUGAGCAGGCAGAGGGGCGCUGCCCUCGCCUGCCCCUGCGGUAGCCAAGCAGGUGGCUGGAAGCAUGGCUAGCUGGUGGGUAAGGAGCUCCGGGUGAGACGGAACAGCCGGAGACCCCCAAUCCCCUUAGCCGGUGCCCCACCCGAUUUCUCUCCUGCGUCCUGGGAGGGCAUGGUUGAGGCGCCACCAGUGACCAGCAACCUCCCCAGGCUGUGGUUGUGACCUGAGGACGCGUGUGUCUCCGCCCCCAGGCCAACGCUAGGCGACCCUGAGUGCACCUUCAAGAAGGCCUGGUAUGUUUCUGGGCGGUCGUGGGGGGUGCCUGAUAUCUCGGCUCUGUUUUACAGCUACUCCCCUGCUGGUGCCUCCCUCCUUGGCGCGGUUUCUGCCUGCGAUCAGCGCCCUCUUCGCAGUCACGAACUCGCCAGCAGCUAGCAGCACUUACUAGUAGGAGGGCCCACCGGAGGAGAGGAAACCCCAGAGAGAUUGGUGAUGGUGAUUUCCCAGGAAGACGUGGUGUGCUCCGACUUCUGUGACAGUGAGCAACGGGACCAAUGGAUGUCCGGAUGCUGGCAAUGAGUAGGGUGGCGUCCCUACGCUGGGUGGCGUCCACACCCUUUGGCUUCCAUUGCCUGGGUCUCCUGGAGGACAUGCUCUGGAGUCAGAAGACAGCAAAAAGAGAAGCAGAAGCCCCGGUGGCAAGAGUCCAAAGCAGGAAGGAAUCACUGUAACCUGUGGAUUGUACUGCAGUAGGAAACUAUCCUAGCAAGGCUCCACUUUGCCCCAGCUUCAAGCUGGAAAGGAGGAGAACAUGAAACGUUGCUUGAAGACAAUGGCCGAGACAGCAGGUCCCACCCUGCACAGCCGCCAACAUCUCUUCCCUCAGCCUUGUCUCUUCUUCUGCAGUUGGGAUCUGUACAUUUAAGCCUGAAAUUGUCCUGUGAAGUGAAGUAUGAUCGGACAGCCUCUUUUCAGCUUUUAUGAAAAUGGAGACAGAGGAAUUGUGGCUCUUGCCAAGGUCACAGGAUUGGAACACAGAGCCAAGCCACCCCAGGACAUGCAAGAGCCUCAGAAGGGAAAAAGCCCAGCAGGAAGGGAGAACAAGUAGCCUCUGUUCUGAGGUUGUAACAGCCAGGGACCAGGAUGGAGGAGGAGGACCCCUAAUCCUGCCCAUCUGGGACUUGGCAGGGGACCUGGGAAAAUGUACCCCAACCCAUCCCUCAAGGGCCUUUGCCUUUGGCCCAUUGGCCUAGCAUCUCCUUCUUCACUAUGUCUGUUCUUGUCAGAUCUGUUUGGGUCUGAGGUGCAUGGAACAUUCUGGGUAGGCCUCCAGCAAACAGAAGCUCUUUACCGUGUUUCUAGCCUAGGACCAAGGGCAGCACACUGGCAAAGUUGCCAAAGCAAGGGACUCCAGCCUGCUAGGAGUUAAUGACUCCCUCUCCCCAGCUGUCCUCCCCUUGGUGCUCCUCUUCCUCCCUCCUCCUGCUCACAGCAGGCAGGGCCUGGACCCGGGAGCCAUGCUGCUGUGCUGUUGCCAGGGGAGUCCGGAGGCAGAUCUGAGCUAUGCAGGGAAAAGGCCCGGCCUGUCAAAGUGUCUGAGAUGAACCGCCGCCGUCCCUGUGCAGCUGGGCUCAGACGUGUCUCAGCUCUUGUUCUGUGCCUGAGAAUGGCGAAACCCAGUGAGGUUCAAGGGCAAACUCGCUAUUCAUUAGUCAGGGGUUCUUGACGUCCCGUCUCUCCCAGGGAUGGGUUCCCCCCCUUCCUCUUUCUCCCCCUCCUAUGACACAUUCCUGGGUGCCUUUGGUGAGGACUGCACACCCUCCUCCUGCCUAGCCCCCUUUCCAAGGGCCUCUGAAUAAACUCCCCCCAAGGAGACCAGGCAGGGCAGAGACAAUGGCUGCAGGAAAUCAUUCAGGCGGGACAUGCUGGCCUGCCCUCCACCCAGUCCCCCUGUGGGCCCCACUCCCUUCUGAUUCAGGGCACCCUUGGGCCCCUAGCCUAUACAGGCCUGGAUAGGAAGAAACCACUGGGAACAACCCUGAGGACAUCACGUUAGUCCAGUGCCAUUCUCUGCUGGCUCUGUGGGUGCCUUUGUGGCCUGCACCAACUGGCAGGCUAAUUUUAUGGUUUCUGUACCAUCACAUGCCUAUUUCAAGACACUCUCAAGCACUGUCAGUUGGGGAGUGUAAAUUCUACAAUAUUUUCUGAAAUGUGGCAAUAUCAAAAUGUAAAAGGCAAAUAUACUUGGUCACAAAAAUGGCACUAUUUACUCUGUGGGCAUAUUUGUAAAAGUUCCCAAAGAAUUACGUACAAGGAUGUUCAUCAGAGCAUUUCUUUUGAAGAGUGUAAAGAAAUGGACAUGAACCUAUGGUCUGUUCAUACUGUGGAAUACCUAUGCAGCUGUAAAAAUCAGUGUGGUAGAUCUCCGUAUAUGAGUUGAUGUGGAAGGUUGGCCAGUUCACAUGAUAAGGUGAAUAGAAUAAGUUACAGAACAGGCUGUGGAGUAUGAUCUUAUUUGUAGAUAUUUAAAAGUGAGUCAUAAGUAUGCUUAUAUACGGAAGUAUGUACUGGAAGGCUACCUCUAGGGAGUGGGCAUGGGGGAAUGCACUCUUCUAUGCUGUUCUGUUUUCUUUUCGUGCUCCUAAGAUACUUUUAUUGAAAGAUGUAAAGGGUUGUUCAGUAUAAUAGGCUUAACGUCUAUCAACUAACUUGGCGUGGGUGCUUUAAGAGGGUGGUAGUGAUGUUACUGGAGAAAGUAUCCCACAAUUACUGGUGGCUUCAGCCAUGGGCCAUUUUGGGGCCUAAUAAUCACAUAUCAUCAUGGUUGCUAGUGUUAAUCGAAAACCUACUAAGUGCCAGGCUUACUGUCUCUGGGUCUUGCUUACGUGGGUAUCAUUAUUCCAGUUUCACCAAAUCAAAAGAAGUUAAUUGGUUUGUUGCAGCUCCUCUGCAGGUGAGGGGCAGAGCCAGGAGCUUGGCUAGGGACAGGGGAGGUGGGUGGGGGAUGGUGGCUAGAUCUUGGCUCUCAGUUUCUUUCCAUGCAGACAUUGCUCCUCUGCCCUGAGGACCUGCUUGUUUGGGGGAGGAGGCCUUUGGAGGCACUGGGGUCAUGCCAGGUGUUGGACAUGGUGAACUGGGAAGUGUCCCCAUUUGGCCAUAGCCCAAAAGUAUCACCGUGCUGGGGGGUGGGGAACAGGGCUGUGAAUGGGCCUAUUUGCAUAAGCAGCAUGUGUGGAGAGAAAGACAUCACAGAGCAGAAGAGGUGUGGGUGCCCAGUAGGGCAAUUGCCACCUCUACUUCAUCCCUGAAAGAGUAAAUGGCCUGGAAAGUGUCUCCAAGAGGUAAUGCUGCACACCACCCUCCCUGGUGGCACUGGGUCAGGUUACACCUGCCUUAGGUUGGGGGCUGCAGCAGCCUGCAGAGCUCUCAGUAGUGCCUCAGUAGCCUGGGAGGGAGCAGGGGCAGGGGGCAGGAAGAGGCAUAAUGGGGCUGUCCAGAGGGGUCUGGGAAACCUGGUCCCUGAGGCCUGGGCACAGCUACAGUCACUUCAGAUUGGCUGUGGGGCCAGUGGACUGGGAAGGAAAAAAGCAUUAAGAGUGGCCAAGUGCAGAAGGCUGUCAGGUCCCAGGUCACAUGCCUUAGUGCAGUGACUCCUCAUCAUUUUAUGGUGUGUGGGUGUCAUUGGUACACCCAUUUUGCAGAUGAGGACACUGAGGCCCAGAAAAGUUAAGUUACAUGUCCUAAGUCACACAGCUUGUAAGUGCCAGAACUGAGAUCAAAACCAAGUCUCUUUGACUUUGAAGUCUGUACUUUGACUCCAAAGAGAUCCUGUUUCAUUUGGCCACUUAUAGGAGGCCCCUAAAGCUGCAGACUCCCCUUGCCGGUGCCCACAUAUAGAGACAUUAACCCCUGCCCUGCAGGGUCACCUCAAAUAGUCUUUUAGCUGGGCUUCUCCCACAGUUCCACCUAAUGCCAUCCCCUGGGUUUUGCCCAAACCUGGACUGGGCAGCGGGGUGAGAGGAGGGGUUUACAGGGUUACAGAGCCUCAUACAGAUUGGAGCCCAUGGCUGCUGGUCAUCUGUAUUCCUGCAGGAUUGGCUGUUCCUUGGGGUCCUUGGCAGGAAGAUGAGGAUGCUCCCGAGACCUGCUCCAGUGCUUGCCAGAGGCUGGCCUGGUGGGCUCUGGAAAGACAGGCUGGAGAGGCAGAAGUAGGAGAGCAGCAAUGGCACUCAGGUAGCUUGAAUCACCAGGACCCUUCCAAGCCCCACAGGUCCUCCUGAGGGAGUACUAGGGCAUUCUCUGGGAGAGGUCUCUUCCUAUGCUGUGAACCCCCUGCCUUUCUUGCAACCUACAAUGAAUAAAUUUUCUUUGCAAAGCC